rnacentral:rRNA from 1 species
GACGAACGCUGACGGCGUGCUUAACACAUGCAAGUCGAACGGUGAAGCGCCUUCCUUUUUGGUGGGUGUGGAUGAGUGGCGAACGGGUGAGUAACACGUGAGUAACCUGCCCCCUUCUUCUGGAUAACCGCAUGAAAGUGUGGCUAAUACGGGAUAUUCUGGGUCUGUCGCAUGAUGGGUCUGGGAAAGAUAUUGUUUCGGUGGGGGAUGGGCUCGCGGCCUAUCAGCUUGUUGGUGGGGUGAUGGCCUACCAAGGCGGUGACGGGUAGCCGGCCUGAGAGGGUGGACGGUCACACUGGGACUGAGACACGGCCCAGACUCCUACGGGAGGCAGCAGUGGGGAAUAUUGCACAAUGGGCGCAAGCCUGAUGCAGCGACGCCGCGUGAGGGAUGGAGGCCUUCGAGUUGUGAACCUCUUUCGCCAGUGAAGCAGGCCUGCCUCGUUUGUGGGUGGGUUGACGGUAGCUGGAUAAGAAGCGCCGGCUAACUACGUG